CACUGGAGGAGGAGGAGGAGCCAAAUGUGAGACCAAAAAAGAUCUUUUUGUUCAUGUUGUGUACGUCUCACACAUACUCGAGGAUGGUAGGUGUUGUGGAUAGAACGGAGCAGAGUAGAGUGAUUGGAGCGCUCUUCUUUCGAGGUUAAAAUUUAGUACACGUGUCUUGUACUAGGUUGUGUCACUUGCAUUUCUUUGGUUGCAAAAGGUUGAAGGACUUUUAAGGUUGGGAGAAUCUUAAUUCCAUACGGACAAUGAGGUUAGGUGGUGUUCCCCAUACCGAUUAAGGAGUGAAAUUCCCGAUGGAAUUUGGAUUGGAUGCCAGAAAGAAAGAUCUGUGGAAAAAAACAAGUAGAGAGAAGAAAGUUCUGGAGUGCAGAUGGAAGAAAAGAGAAUACCAGUCAUUUGGCAACAGAAUAUUAGCAGCACGGAUAUCUUAUAGUAGAGAAUCUUUUCGUGGCAUUUGGAAUGGAAUAGAAGUUGCAAUCAAAGUUUUGUUGGAGCAAGAUUUGACUGCUGAAAACAUGGAGGAUUUCUGCAAUGAAAUUUCCAUCCUAAGCAUUACUGAUUUAGCGGAUGUCUUUUCCUGUCUAAAGUGUUUGACCGUUUUUACUUCACUUCUUGAGAAGUAUGAGGUUGAUCCAAAGCAAAUUGGUAGACUGGAAGUUGGAAGCGAGACCGUUAUACACAAAAGCAAAUCAAUCAAGACAUUCCUAUGCAAAUAUUUGAGGUCUUAGCAUUGUUCGUAGGGGCUCCCCUGGAGAAGCAAGUUGUAGUAGUUUGUUCAAAUUUGGGCAUAUUAUCUGCUUGCAAUAUGGCCAUUACAGAUGGAGGCCGGCUUGUGAUUCGGAAGCUGGAAUUGAGCAUUUGGGGAUAUUAUCUGCUUUCAUGGAACACCGGAUUUUCUGCUGUGGCAGUUAGAGUUAGUGAACCCUUUUAGUUGGAGUGUGGAUCGAGCUGUAAAGAAUAUGCCUUGAACCCUUUAAUGCACAGUAGAUCAGAAUGAAAUUCCAUCCUUGUGUGGUCCCUCCUCUUUAUCCUUUAUGUUUCCUCUUUACACUUUUCUUCUUUAGCUUUCUGGUCUGCAGUUCCCUUGCUGUCUUCCACUCAAUUUCUAUGAAAUUUCCUUCACUUUUCUUCCUUA